CACGGGGGGAGCAAGCGUUGUUCGGAAUCAUUGGGCGUAAAGGGUGCGUAGGCGGCGGGGCAAGUCAGGUGUGAAAUCUCGGGGCUCAACCCCGAAACUGCACUUGAUACUGCCUUGCUCGAGUACUGGAGAGGAGACUGGAAUUUACGGUGUAGCAGUGAAAUGCGUAGAUAUCGUAAGGAAGACCAGUGGCGAAGGCGAGUCUCUGGACAGUUACUGACGCUGAGGCACGAAGGCCAGGGGAGCAAACGGG
rnacentral:rRNA from 1 species